UACGAGGGGGGCAAAUGUUGUUCGGAAUUACUGGGCGUAAAGCGCACGUAGGCGGCUAUUCAAGUCAGGGGUGAAAUCCCGGAGCUUAACUCCGGAACUGCCUCUGAAACUAGAUAGCUAGAAUCUUGGAGAGGUCAGUGGAAUUCCGAGUGUAGAGGUGAAAUUCGUAGAUAUUCGGAAGAACACCAGUGGCGAAGGCGACUGACUGGACAAGUAUUGACGCUGAGGUGCGAAAGCGUGGGGAGCAAACAGG
rnacentral:rRNA from 1 species